rnacentral:tRNA from 1 species
GUAGCUCAGGCGGUUAGAGCGCAGGAUUCAUAACCCUGAGGUCAUGGGUUCAACUCCCAUC